rnacentral:rRNA from 1 species
CCCUACGGGACGCAGCAGUGGGGAAUAUUGCACAAUGGGGGGAACCCUGAUGCAGCAAUGCCGCGUGGGUGAAGAAGCACUCCGGUGCGUAAAGCCCUGUCAGCAGGGAAGAAAAUGACAGUACCUGGACAAGAAGCCCCGGCUAACUACGUGCCAGCAGCCGCGGUAAUACGUAGGGGGCAAGCGUUAUCCGGAUUUACUGGGUGUAAAGGGAGCGUAGACGGCGAAGAAAGUCUGAAGUGAAAGCCCGCGGCUCAACCGCGGAACUGCUUUGGAAACUUUUUUGCUGGAGUACCGGAGAGGUA